ACCUUACACCUCAGAAAGUCCACACUGAACAAUGGAAGGUGCAUAAUUGUACCUUAAAGGUGCAUAAUUGUACCUUCAACAUACAUUUUUGUACUUUUAAGGGAACAUUUGCUUGUUUGUACCUUAGGGAACAAAAAUGAACCUGUAUUGCACCUUUUCUUUUGACAGUGUAGAUUACGCUUCAGGACGAUUAAAACCAUCGCGAUUCAGUUAUAAUCUCAACUGAUUAAUAUCUUUAACACAUUAUCGUUAAUUAUGAGCAGAUUCCUCGAUGCAUCGUUACAUCCCCGGUUGGGUCAGAGCGGCCAUCUUGUAAAUACACUUUUAUAACGCUGAUAGAGGCAAACUCAUAGCUGUGUGUGUACGUUUCUCCAUGAACAUUGAAUGUGUGUAACUUCUCUGCUUCAUAUGGUCUUUGCUCUGUCUCUGGAUGCUGAUUUGUAAUUCUUAAAAAACAAAAAAAAAGGUACAUUGCUGUGUAAUUUGUAGCUAAACCGUGGUGACACUCUCUCUGUGGCUGACUGUACUUGAUGCGUAGUGCAUAGCGCCUCGUUCCUACUGUAUUAAAACGCAGUGAAAUGCAUGAGUG